UACGUAGGCAGCAAGCGUUGUUCGGAGUUACUGGGCGUAAAGGGUGUGUAGGCGGUUGUUUUAAGCUUGGUGUGAAAUCUCCCGGCUCAACUGGGAGGGUGCGCCGAAUACUGAAUGACUAGAGUGCGGGAGAGGAAAGUGGAAUUCCUGGUGUAGCGGUGAAAUGCGUAGAGUAUCAGGAGGAACACCGGUGGUGUAGACGGCUUUCUGGAC
rnacentral:rRNA from 1 species